AUUGAACGCUGGCGGCAGGCCUAACACAUGCAAGUCGAACGAGUGGCGGACGGGUGAGUAAUGUCUGGGAAACUGCCAGAUGGAGGGGGAUAACUACUGGAAACGGUAGCUAAUACCGCAUACCAUCGGAUGUGCCCAGAUGGGAUUAGCUAGUAGGUGGGGUAAUGGCUCACCAAGGCGACGAUCCCUAGCUGGUCUGAGAGGAGGACCAGCCAAACGGGAACAGAGACACGGUCCAGACUACGACGGGAGGCAGCAGUGGGGAAUAUUGCACAAUGGCGGCAAGCCUGAUGCAGCGAUGUCGCGUGUAUGAAGAAGGUCUUCGGGUUGUAAAGUACUUUCAGAGGGGAGGCGUUACCCGCAGAAGAAGCAACGGCUAACUCCGUGCCAGCAGCCGCGGUAAUUC
rnacentral:rRNA from 1 species